AGGAAAAGAAACUAACAAGGAUUCCCCUAGUAACGGCGAGUGAAGCGGGAAGAGCUCAAAUUUGAAAUCUGGUAGCCUUCGGUUGCCCGAGUUGUAAUCUAGAGAAGUGUUUUCCGUGCCGGCCCAUGUACAAGUCCCUUGGAACAGGGCGUCAUAGAGGGUGAGAAUCCCGUCCUUGACAUGGACCCCCGGUGCUUUGUGAUACACUUUCAACGAGUCGAGUUGUUUGGGAAUGCAGCUCAAAAUGGGUGGUGAAUUCCAUCUAAAGCUAAAUAUUGGCGAGAGACCGAUAGCGAACAAGUACCGUGAGGGAAAGAUGAAAAGCACUUUGGAAAGAGAGUUAAACAGUACGUGAAAUUGUUGAAAGGGAAACGAUUGAAGUCAGUCAUGCUCUUGGGACUUACCUCCCUUGAGUGGGGUCAACAUCAGUUUUGAUCGAUGGAUAAAGGCACGGGGAAGGUAGCACUCUCGGGUGAACUUAUAGCCUCGCGUCAUAUACAUUGAUUGGGACUGAGGAACGCAGCAUGCCUUAUGGCCGGGAUUCGUCCACGUACAUGCUUAGG
rnacentral:rRNA from 1 species